UACGUAGGGGGCAAGCGUUGUCCGGAUUUAUUGGGCGUAAAGAGCGUGUAGGCGGCUUUGCAAGUCCGUUGUGAAAACUCGAGGCUCAACCUCGAGACGCCGGUGGAAACUGCAAAGCUAGAGUCCGGAAGAGGAGAGUGGAAUUCCUGGUGUAGCGGUGAAAUGCGCAGAUAUCAGGAAGAACACCCGUGGCGAAGGCGGCUCUCUGGAACGCAACUGACGCUGAGACGCGAAAGCGUGGGGAGCAAACAGG
rnacentral:rRNA from 1 species